ensembl:snoRNA
AUGUUAUGAUGAAUAAAAUCCUGUUCCAUUGCUAAAAUACAGUAUGGAUUAUGAUGAAAUAAACUU